AUUGAACGCUGGCGGCAUGCCUUACACAUGCAAGUCGAACGGUAACAGGUCUUCGGAUGCUGACGAGUGGCGAACGGGUGAGUAAUACAUCGGAACGUGCCUAGUAGUGGGGGAUAACUACUCGAAAGAGUGGCUAAUACCGCAUGAGAUCUACGGAUGAAAGCAGGGGAUCGCAAGACCUUGUGCUACUAGAGCGGCCGAUGGCAGAUUAGGUAGUUGGUGGGAUAAAAGCUUACCAAGCCGACGAUCUGUAGCUGGUCUGAGAGGACGAUCAGCCCCCCUGGGACUGAGAGACGGCCCAGACUCCUACGGGAGGAAGCAGUGGGGAAUUUUGGACAAUGGGCGCGAGCCUGAUCCAGCAAUGCCGCGUGCAGGAUGAAGGCCUUCGGGUUGUAAACUGCUUUUGUACGGAACGAAAAGCCCUGGGUUAAUACCCUGGGGUCAUGACGGUACCGUAAGAAUAAGCACCGGCUAACUACGUGCCAGCCGCCGCAGUAAUAC
rnacentral:rRNA from 1 species